GCUUGCUUUGGCAACACAUAUAUUAAAUUGUAAUGAUACAGACAAGAUUAGCAUGGCCCCUGCUCAAGGAUGACAUGCAAAUUCAUGAAGUGUUCCAUAUUAAA